rnacentral:rRNA from 1 species
GUGAACGCUGGCGGUAGGCCUAACACCUGCAAGUCGAACGGCAGCACAGUAAGAGCUUGCUCUUACGGGUGGCGAGUGGCGGACGGGUGAGGAAUACAUCGGAAUCUACUUUUUCGUGGGGGAUAACGUAGGGAAACUUACGCUAAUACCGCAUACGACCUACGGGUGAAAGCAGGGGAUCUUCGGACCUUGCGCGAUUGAAUGAGCCGAUGUCGGAUUAGCUAGUUGGCGGGGUAAAGGCCCACCAAGGCGACGAUCCGUGGCUGGUCUGAGAGGAUGAUCAGCCACACUGGAACUGAGACACGGUCCAGACUCCUACGGGAGGCAGCAGUGGGGAAUAUUGGACAAUGGGCGCAAGCCUGAUCCAGCCAUACCGCGUGGGUGAAGAAGGCCUUCGGGUUGUAAAGCCCUUUUGUUGGGAAAGAAAAGCAGCAGGUUAAUACCCCGCUGUUCUGACGGUACCCAAAGAAUAAGCACCGGCUAACUUCGUG